rnacentral:rRNA from 1 species
GACGAACGCUGGCGGCGUGCUUAACACAUGCAAGUCGAACGAUGAAGCCGGAGCUUGCUCUGGUGAAAUAGUGGCGAACGGGUGAGUAACACGUGAGUAACCUGCCCUUGACUCUGGGAUAACUGCGGGAAACUGUAGCUAAUACCGGAUACGACCCUCGGAGGCAUCUCCUGGGGGUGGAAAGAAUUUCGGUCAAGGAUGGACUCGCGGCCUAUCAGCUAGUUGGGGAGGUAAAGGCUCACCAAGGCGACGACGGGUAGCCGGCCUGAGAGGGUGACCGGCCACACUGGGACUGAGACACGGCCCAGACUCCUACGGGAGGCAGCAGUGGGGAAUAUUGCACAAUGGGCGCAAGCCUGAUGCAGCAACGCCGCGUGAGGGAUGACGGCCUUCGGGUUGUAAACCUCUUUUAGCAGGGAAGAAGCGAAAGUGACGGUACCUGCAGAAAAAGCACCGGCUAACUACGUGCCAGCCGCCGCGGUAA